rnacentral:lncRNA from 1 species
ACUUAUAGGAGGUAUUAUGUCUUUUCAUAGAAACAUAACUAUCAAAAUGGAUAUUCAUAUAUUUUGCAAUAAACAUAAUUAUUGUAUAGAUAUAUACUUAAAUAAUUAUAGCCUCUUCCAUGCCAGCACCGCCACGGUCAUGUCGUCGCCCUCCACUUGCACCUGCUCUACCUGCAAAAGGAAAGGAAACACGCAAGUAGAAACAGGAAAGAAAAACAAAAAUAAACUAUGUAAUAUGGCUAUAAAAGCCAGAAUCAAUUUGUAAAAAUGGGGGGUUCUUUGGGAAAAAAAAUCUAUUCAAAAAAAGGAAGAACAAAGAUUAAAAAGCAAUAAAAGGUCACUCUUUUUUUUAUUUUUGUUUCGUUUUUAUUGUUUUUUUUUAUUUUUUUAUUUUGAAAUACAAAAUAAAAACAAAGGGAAGGUCUUUUCGUACCUUUUCGUCAUUGUCGGAGUGCUCGGAGUCAGAGGGCUACGUCGGAGGGAAAAAAGGUAGACUUUUGGUCUCCUCGCC